CAGGGGUCUUUUCAAACAUAGACAAUCAUGGGAUAUUAAACUUGAAGGACAAUAGAGAUCAUCUAGUCCCAUCAACUCACUAUAUAUAUGAGGAACCUGAGGUCCAGAGUGGGGAUGUGUCUUACCCAAGGUCACAUGGUGAGUUAUCUCCUUUGACAUCUUUGUAUAAAGUCAUGACCCCUUCCCUACCAAUUUUGAUUUUUAAGACCCAAGGACUCAUCAUCAAACCUCCAUGUCUCAAAGAAAUAGGGUAUGGCUAGGUGUCCAGGGUGGUAUUGGUGUUCAAGUCCCUUAGGUUAUAAGAGUGUCUUCUAGAGGAGGAAGCUUCACAGGGCCUAGGUGAGGGGUAUGAGAGAAGCAAGAGAGGGGCCAUGGCCUGGCGAGAAACAGUGAUGUCAUAGACCUUCUCAGCAGGCUGCCCAGACCCAUGACCUUCCCUCCUUUCUCAAACCCCAGAAAGCCCUUCUCUGGAGUCAGCACAGAGAAACUAUCUCAGAAAUGUCUCAUUUUGAAAUGGAGCUUUCUUCUAAAUAUGAUAUCACAGACAAAGAGAUUUCCCUGUAUCUUCACAAAUUUGACCUCACUCCCUACAGAGGGAGGGACCCCAACACCCCAAAUGUCUCAACCCUGUUUUGAUCAUACUAGUCCAGUCCUGGGCUACAGAAAGGAAAGUCUCAGUGCAAUUGGAUUGUUUCAAACUGUGCCCAUGAUGUAUCCCCAGUGCCCAGUUUUUCAUCAUGCCGUCCACAUGCCUGCACAUGACUUUCAUGAAAAGAUAGGCUUUCUCUGUUUACAUGUGUAUGCACAUGUGUGCAUGAGUGUGCACACAUACAAACAUACACACACACGCAAACAUGCAUAGUCUUUACAGAUAUGUUAAAACUCUGAAUUUGAUCAAGCAACUUGUUUGUGGAGAUUUGAUCAGGAGCACCCGUAUCUCUGGAUAUUCUCACUGAGUUCCCAGCUGAGUGGCCAGAAAGACUCUAAGCUGUCAUGGAAGUCCUCCUCGCUUGAGGCAGCCUGUAACUCAGUGGCCACCAAUGCUGCUCCUCAAGGGUAUGUCCAUGCCCUGUAAGAAUUAGAAUUAUGGGAAGGCUGAGAUCUCAUCCAUCCUUCCUAAACCAUCCAAGGUCCUGGUGAAAUGAGGCAAAAAAGGUCAAUAGGAAAAAGCUUGUAGGCUUACCAGUACAGAGCCUCCACCUCCUAGUGUGGUCAGAAAGGGUCUAUGAAAUUUUAGUUCCUAGAAUUGGAGAUGCCCUCUGGUAUCCUUAAGUGGGGCAGCAUAGCCUUCUCCUUCAUCUCCUCUGGUGACCCUGCCAUGCACACCCUUGCUCUCUCACCUGCUCAUCAACUCAUCGUCAGGGGAUCCUCCUUCCAGACUUGGAAUGACUGUAUAUGGUCCUAGACCGAGACUCCCUAAGAUGAGUCUGUCCUUCCUCUUCCAUGACAGUCCAAGCCAAGCCCCCAAAUGUGGCACUCACUUCCCUUCCAUGGUUCAGCGGAGGCCACAGCAAAAUGGAGUGUUUCCGGUUUUCCUGACCGUUCUUGGUUUUAAGUUACCCCCUCCCCCUCAUCUUUCCCUUUUGCUGGCAAUUCAUUUGGCUAUUUCCAAUGUAUAUCCGUAUCUCUAGGUUUUCCCCUUUCAAACUCCCUUUCUAUUUCCCCUCCUAGUUUUGAUCUUCUUUGGGGGUUUUGGUUUUUACUUUAUUUUGCUUUUUUCUGUUUUUCUGUUUUUUUUCUUUUUGUUUUUUUAUAGGUUUCAGAGAAAUUAUGUUGAAUCCAAUAAGCCUUCCCGGACAUUCCAAGCCUCUUAACCAUGGCAUCUAUGUUGAGGAUGUCAAUGUUUAUUUCAGCAAAGGACGUCAUGGCUUUUAAAAACUCCUUUUAAGCCUCCUUGUUUUGAUGUCACCUUGGUAGGCUGGGCCCUCUGAGAGGUUGGAAGCUCUAGGCGUUGUUCUCUUUGGAUCCGGGGAUGCUAAGUAGAAACUGCAUGAGCCACCGGUGCCCCUGCACCCUUUAACACCACCGAGAUGGGCAUUUCCCCAUCGGCCACUGGCAGGGUUGCCCCUUCCCUCCAAUCAUCACCGUGUUUUUUCUUUUAUUUUUUUCUUUUUUUUUCUGACCUGCGAGGCAGCUCCUGCCACCAUCUUUAGAGCCAAUAAAGAGAAUUAAAACCUGUGCACCAGGAGCCAUCUUUUAUACACAACUAGCUAUUCUCUUGCUUUACAAAAACAACCCAAUCGCCAUGAGAAAGCCUGAUGAAGUCCAGCCGUGCUGUGGCCUCCCUUUCUCGCUUGGAAGCAUGGGGUCUCCCUGGCUCUCCCUAGGACACUGUGCUGUCCUUUUAGUAACCUCAUCGCCCUGCAACCUCCAGUGGGGAAGAGUCACAAAGAGCACCUAAGCAGAGGUGGAGACGGCGCGGUAAGAGGAGGGGGAACCAGGCCCAAGUGUUGCACCAGCUUAGGUCUCAGAGGGAAGAAUGGAAACCAAUAUUUUGUUUUUGUUUUUGGUUUUUUUUUUUUGGUGGAGAAAAUCAUACCUUUUUUUGGAUACACUGCCCCUCCUUCUUCUCUGGAAUGGCUCACAGUGAGUGCGAUAUUAGAAAAUUCCUUGGAAAGAGUUUCUCCAGGCUCCUUGGCCCCUAGAGGUGCAGUUCCGACAAGCUUUGGCUACAGGAGACCUUGCCCGUGAAUUGGCCAUCCUACUAGGACCACAAGGGACCGAGGGAAUCAGGGAACAAGGCCCUUCCUGCUAGGCCAUGAUCCUGGGAUUGGCUCUCUUGCCCCACUUCCACUUACUCUUGACUCAGAGAACCUUUGGAGCCCAAUGGAAUCACCAUUUCAAGGUCAAGAUGAACUGAAGGGGAAGAGAAGUAAAAAUUGGCCUCCUCCAGCCCCUCUCGUGGCACCAGCGGACGUGUCACCCUGUUCUCUGGUCAAUCUGUGUGUUUACUUUGCUUGCUUUGACUCAUGCCUUACUCCACAGCCACCCUCUCCCAAAGAGGGGGGCUGUUCCCCCCGUUUCUGACUUGAUCCACUGGGGAGAAGAAAGAGGAUGUCUGUCCCUUGCUAGAUAGGGAAGGCACGUUGGCAGGGUCUGAGACUCUCCCGGAUUCGCUGACACAUUAGCUGAGUGGAUUUCUGGCUUGGUCCAGCUCUCCAAAUACCCACUGGGAGUCCCUGUUAUAUGAGGGAAGCUUAGAUUGUCACUUGAUGAUGAUCAACAGGAACAGGGAGCACCCCAUGGGGAGUUUUGGGGAAGCUAUGGUGGUUUUUAUAACCCAUUAUGUUUUGGGGGUGGUGUUGCACAGCAAUAGAGAAUAGAUUCUAUGCCUUUGGCAAAUGUACCUGGGAGUUAAAAGGCUCUUACUGAUGGGUUGAUAGGUUCUGCUCCCCCCGGGUCCUGUGGAUAAAGCUUCUUCAUGUCAGGUUCCCAACCUGAUUCUGUAGAUGUCUCCAUGGGGUUGAAAAACCGGAAGCUUUCCAAGUUCUUGCCCAGUAUGUAGCCCUGUCCAGCUCCCCUCAUCUGCUCCCCAUGGCUCCAGUGAGGCUGUUCCCCAGCACGCCCUGCUGGCCCCUUGGGUCUAGGGCCUCCUCCCGAGUGUGGCUUUAAGGAGUAAGCUUGAGGAUGAUGUUUUUAAUUAUUGUAAAUCAUUACCUCAUUUCCAGCCUCCCAGGCUCCAUCCAUCCCAGCAUCUUUUAUUCUGCCAUUUUCCUCACCUUGUGCUAUGACAUUGGGGCAUUGUGUUUCCACAGAGACUUAUAGGAGUGUUCAGUGUAUAGUUUCUUAAUAAACACUUUAUUUUCUAAUGA
rnacentral:lncRNA from 1 species